AUUGAAUGUUUACCAGUGAACUCAUAGUUUAACCAAUCGGCUUCUUACAAAACCAUUAUCAAAUGUAUUUCUCCAUCUUUCCUCACCUUUCAUGCUUCCCCUCAAUUUUUCUUCUCUUUCCCUUUGCUUAUUUUAUUUUUCCUUUCAGUUUUGCCAGGCUAGGACAUCACUGGUCGUGUCAGGAAAUCAGUUUGGAAAUCCUCUUGGAAGGUGACCGAUGCGCGAGCGUUGCUGCAGAGUAGGUAGUCAAGAAGCAUGUUGCGGCCAUCGCUGCUGUCACCAGCACACAACGCUGGAACCAAAACGGACGUGUGGAGCUUCAUGUGGAGGUCAUCGAUCGAGCGUGGGGAUGUCGGCUUUCCUUAGUGUUGGUCAUCAAAGCAUGUCUAUCGAGCGAGCAGUCAUUUAAUUGUGCAACAGUUGUUCUGACAAGAGAUGCUUGUGGAGGAAUAUCGGGGUGACUGCAUACUGACACAAGAAGGCUAGAACAAUGACUCGAAAAUCGGUUUUCUUGGUAUAGGCGAUGGAAGUGUACAAAAGUGCUAAAAUAAUGAUUGAUGGUCUAAUUGAGUGAAGAUAAAAGACUAAAAAGUUUUGAUCUACAUGCUACAAUCAAGCCAUCAGUAGAUCAAUAGGAAGGUGUGCACUUGAAAUUUGUCAUGACUUACUUCCAGGUAGGGCUUCUCUCAUGUGUCUUGGUGCCUCGUUUUUGCUUCUCUACGGGUUCCUACCAGCAGAACUUCUCUUCUUUCACUUUUUAUUAGGUGUUCCCUGCGGCCACUGCUUCGCCCGUGCUCCGAAUCUGUCUUAGCAUUGUUGGCUGCUUCAUCAUGUGGGAGUGAUUGUUCUCAGGUCUCAUCAUCUCAACAAAUCACAUGCAGAAGAGAGAAGAAACUUGGCACAACUUCCAGCAAACAAUUAAAAUUAGAGGGAGAUAGGUACAAGUCAAGAAAAAAACCUUGAUGUGUUGUCUAAAAAGGAGAGGCAGCACAUCAAUAGUGGAACUGUGGGAAUGAUCCCUGGAUCGAAUAGUGGUUGGAUUCGUCGAGCAGCCCACAUGACAGGCAGUGUCGGAUGCCAUCCUCAAGAAUACCGUGGUGGCGCAUCCAGCUCUGGUUCCGGAGGUUCAUUGCCGCCCCGCGGAUAUUCAUCCCCUCUUCGCCCGAGCAGCGGUGGCAGGAUGCACUCUCAGCAUCUACUGGUUCGUGGCUCUCAGAUGCGUGAGCGUUUUCCCCAAUAAAUGGUUGCAGGUCGGACAAGGCUCACAGAGUAAGUUGUGUAUGUAUGCUACGCGACCUGGGCAGAAGGACAUGCUAGAUGUGAUGAAUCGGUGGCGCAGGCCAUGGGGAGCAUUGUAGUGUACUCGAUAUGCUUCAGCUGUACUCGAUCUGCUUGAAUUGGGGAAAGGUAGUGGCAAGUAGUGUCAUGGGAGAGAAAGAAAAAGCUAGAAGGGGAUCUGACAGAAUGCUUGUGACUAUUCGGUGUGGGGGUGUUGCUUCGUGCAUGCCCAUGGGAGU